UACGGAGGGAGCUAGCGUUGUUCGGAAUUACUGGGCGUAAAGCGCACGUAGGCGGCUUUGUAAGUUAGAGGUGAAAGCCCGGGGCUCAACUCCGGAACUGCCUUUAGACUGCAUCGCUUGAAUCCAGGAGAGGUGAGUGGAAUUCCGAGUGUAGAGGUGAAAUUCGUAGAUAUUCGGAAGAACACCAGUGGCGAAGGCGGCUCACUGGACUGGUAUUGACGCUGAGGUGGCGAAAAGCGUGGGGAGACAAACGGGGAU
rnacentral:rRNA from 1 species